UUCGGUCCUUGCUGCACCCUUGUCUUUUGCGUACCGUAUGUUUCCUCGGCGGGCUUGCCUGCCGGUUGGACAUUAUCAAACCUUUUUGUAGUUGCAAUCAGCGUCAGAAAACAAACAAUAAUUACAACUUUCAACAACGGAUCUCUUGGUUCUGGCAUCGAUGAAGAACGCAGCGAAAUGCGAAAAGUAGUGUGAAUUGCAGAAUUCAGUGAAUCAUCGAAUCUUUGAACGCACAUUGCGCCCCUUGGUAUUCCAUGGGGCAUGCCUGUUCGAGCGUCAUUUUGUACCCUCAAGCACUGCUUGGUGUUGGGCGUUUGUCCUGCAAAGGACUCGCCUGAAAGCGAUUGGCGGCCAACGUACUGGUGGUAGAGCGCAGCACAAUUUGCGUCUCUCCCCUCUGCGUCGGCGUCCAUGAAGCCUUUUUUCAACGUUUGACCUCGGAUCAGGUAGGGAUACCCGCUGAACUUAAGCAUAUCAAUAGGCCGGAGGAGAAAGAUCAUUAUCAAAACAGCGGACUUCGGUCCUUGCUGCACCUUGUCUUUUGCGUACCGUAUGUUUCCUCGGCGGGCUUGCCUGCGGUUGGACAUUAUCAAACCUUUUUGUAGUUGCAAUCAGCGUCGAAAAAAAACAAUAAUUACAACUUUACAACGGAUCUCUUGGUUCUGGCAUCAUG
rnacentral:rRNA from 1 species